UACGGGGGGGGGCAAGCGUUGUUCGGAAUUACUGGGCGUAAAGGGCGCGUAGGCGGCCAUCUAAGUCAGACGUGAAAUCCCUCGGCUCAACCGAGGAACUGCGUCUGAUACUGGAAGGCUUGAAUCCGGGAGAGGGAUGUGGAAUUCCAGGUGUAGCGGUGAAAUGCGCAGAUAUCAGGAGGAACACCGGUGGCGAAGGCGGGUCUCUGGGCCGAUACUGACGCUGGAGGAGCGAAAGCGUGGGGAGCGAAC
rnacentral:rRNA from 1 species